rnacentral:lncRNA from 1 species
CGGCGGCCAAGAGAGGUCCACGCCAGACGGCCACACGGGCUCCAGCCGCUCUGUCCGUUCACCAGAACCGUCAAGAGGGUCUUUGAGAGGGCGGAAGUGGAAACCGCAGAUGGGGUGAUAGCGAGGGGUGGGGGAUGGACAGGUGUACGUCGGAGGUGAGGUUUCCAGGGGACAAGGUUAGGGACGAGCAGGUGAUGCCCUGCCAAGGAAGGAAAGCCCGUACCUGUGCUCCCUGGGAGGGGCCUCAGAGCCUCGGAGCCACAGCCAUGUGGGUCCUGGUGGCAUAAUCCUGCCAGAGCGUGCUCCUGACCUGGUCCCCUCGGGCUCUCUCAGAUAUCUGGAGGAUGCCAGUUAAUUGUGGGGCCUGAAGAACUGUGUGUGGCUCCAGUUGGGCAUUGGGAGGCACAGAAGUGAGACUUUGGCAUGGAUUGUACCUUCACAUGGGAAGGAGGAGGGCAUGGGCAGCGGCCAUACCAUGACCGGCUGAUAGUCCUGGGAAAAACUCUGAACCUUCUUGAGCCUCAGUUUCCUCAGUCAUAAGAUGGGGAUGGUGCUGGUUCCUCGUGGGGCUGUUGAGAGCAUAAAUGAGUCAGUAUCUGUGCUCAGAACAGUGCCUGAUGCCCAGGUUCUGAGUGUGCACUCAGGAAUCGAAGCUAUUGUUAAUGUCACUGUCAUAUUGUCAUCACGGCUGGAGGCUGCUGCGUUGGAGAAUCGUCUCCCAUGUUUCUCAUCACUCUCCAAGUCCUGAAUCCUUCUCCAACUCGUUCCCUCUUCUCCAUCUCCCAAUGCUAACCACCCCCCACCCCCCGACUGGCCUCCCUUCCUUCAGGCCCCAGCUCCGUCAAACCUCCCUCCACUUCAUAGCGGCAACCCUUCUAGAGCAUCCAUCUCAUCGGAUCACUUCCCUGCCUUAGAAACUGCUCCCGACUCCCAACACCUUUAAGACAAUGACAAGGGUCAAGUUACACAGGACCCUUGGAGAUGCUCCCUAUGCUCUUUCCCACCUGCGCACCCCCUUUUCCCCUGGGCUUCAGGCAGCAUGCACCAUACUUGCACAUGUUGCUACUGAGAACAUCCUUCACUCUUCCAUCCAGCAAACUCCUACGCAUCCUUCAAUGGCCGACUUGAUUGUUCCCUCUUUUGUCAUGCUUUUCCCAAUAAACCCUGGCAGAGUUAGUGGCUCCUUCCUCUCUGUCCACACAGCCUCUGUAGCGGUGUGGUGGAGUCCUAUGUGAGGCAAAAGGUAUCUGCUUGGACAGCAUGUGGGAGAAAACUCAAAUACGGGUAGCAUCACUCUGCCCUUGGGAACGUUCUGUGGGAUACUAGAGAAGUAAAAAGAAGCAAGGAACCCAAGACGGUGCCUGGAUGUCAUUUCUGUAUACGAAGGUGUAGGCAGCAAAAGGGCUUCACAUCUGCUUGUUUCUACAUCAGAGACACAGUUGUGUUUACCUGGGGUGGGCCGGGUGGGGAGGAAGGGGCAGGGUGGAGGGGGCAAGAUUUUAAUGGUAUGAAUUCAUGUUGUUGGAGUUUUAAUGAUGUUAAGGUAUUUCCCAUUUUAAAAACAGAAAGGGUCCAGCACAGUGGCUCACGCCUGUAAUCCCAGCACUUUGGGAGGCCUAAGCAGGAUGAUCACUUGAGGUCAGGAGUUCAAGACCCGUCUGGCCAACAUGAUGAAACCCCAUCUCCACUAAAAAUACAAAACUUAGCUGGGCAUCGUGACGCGUGCCUGUAAUCCCAGCUACUCGGGAGGCUGAGGCAGGAGAAUUGCUUGAACCUGGGAUGCAGAGGUCGCAGUGAGAUGAGACUGUGCCACUGCACUCCAGCCUGAGUUACAGAGCAAGACUCCAUCUCAAAAAAGAAAAAGAAAAGAAAAGAAAAAAA